AAUUUCCAGUUUGUCUGCAGUGACGGCCGCAGCAGCACCAGUACCACGCGAGAAGACACGUUUCUUGGGACCGUUCACUAAGCCUACUUAAUUUUUUUAGGUCAGUCUGUCAUUUGUUCGAAGGUUCUAGCCGUGUUUUAUUGGGAUUGGUUUAAAGAACUCACUUCGUUUGGUAUUGAACUAUCAGAUCAAUCAGGGAGUCAAUCAUCAUCAAAGGGUUGAACAGUUCUUCCAGCGUGGCCUCUUCGUUGUUCUUUUAAAUACCGUGUACCACGUGGCCCAAUAACUAAAUUUACAAACGUACAUGGGGCCGGAUGAUUUUGUAAAGGAAGCCUUUUCGCUUACACUGUGUUUGCUGCGGCUACAUUCUGUUGAUACUCUCCAUAAGACAUGGAUGACGCAAUGAAUAAAAAGUUAUCAAAUGGCCACAUUUGAUUUGAUGAUGCUCAGUUUACUUAUGCCAGAUAAGAAUUCCUUUUGUUUAAAAUAAAAAAAGGAAGAAAAAACCUGCGCAUACCCACCUUAAAAAUGCAGACCGCAAGCGGUUGUACGAAGAUCACCCCACUAGUAUAGGGAAUGAUAUUUCGACACACUCGUAUUAAACGCCGUCUGUAUUUAUUAAAUUUGCCGUACUUCGAUAAGUAAAUUAAUAUUAUUUAGUUUUAAGUAAUUAAGUGAUUUACUUUUGAAAAUAUACUGUAGUGAGUUUGUUUAUUUUUUUGUCCCUUUUUAUCUAACACUAGGAACAAAGUAUAAUUUACUCUGUUAUUAAAUUAAUAUACAUUGUCGACUUAUGUCUAUUUCUGAAAGCACUUAACAGAAACUUCUAGUACGUGCACAUAUUGGACGCAUUUGAAUAAGGAAGCUGUGCUGGUUGUGGGGUUUAAUUGCUUUAUAUUUCCACAGUUUCGAUCGUUCGAAGUUUUAAUUAAUGAAUGCCCUUAAUGACAGACUCUAGGGUAAUAUUAAUUUAAUUUAGGUUAAUUUGCAUUUUAGGUCGUUUAUAAUAUUCACUUCUGCAUAGGGAUUUGCAUACACAGGGAGGAGAAGUCAGCAAAUAAAUCGACCGCGUCAUGUCCAUCUUUAUUGCACUCUUACUACUUACUUUAUUUGAUUUUUUUGUCAGUACUAAGCAGGUCAUCUAGUUUCUAAGGUCUGAUGAUGCUUUAUUAGCGAAACAUUUAACCUUCGUGACAUAUAUAAAGGAUGUUUUGAGACCGAGACAUGGAAUUUUAAUUUUAUCUCUUCUUUAUAGAACUCGACCACAAAAAAAAGAGAAUAUAAAAAUUAUGAGAUUCUU